rnacentral:lncRNA from 1 species
UAAACUUGAGACUUGGGAGAUGAGGUUCUUCUUCUUCUUCUUCCAUACCCUAAUUCUGGUUCUAUUACUUUUAUUAUUUUCACUCAUGUUCUUCACUCAAGUUAGUGCAGGUUUGUCUUCAUUUCUAUUUCUUUCAUAUACCAUGCAAAUUAAUUCUCAAUAUUCACUAUAAAAUAAAUUUAUUAAAUAACAACAAAAAAAAUAGAGAGAAAAAAAUAAUUAGUAACUAAAUUAGAUGUUAUUUUAGAUACUAAAAAAUUAUUUUUAAAUUGGUAUCUAAAUUAUCUAUCAGGGUUUUAUCUACUAAUAUUUAGACUCUAAAUUGAUCUUAAUUAGUCUUUUAGAGACUAAUUUAAAAUAUAAAAUAUUAAUAGAUAAAAUAUUGGUAGCUACUGGUUAAAUACAAAUCUAAAAAUUACUUUAUAAAUUUUUUUAAUAAUAAAAUCUAUUUUAAAUAUAAAAAAAUAGUCAAUAAAAUAUCUCUAAUAUCCAAAAUAAUAUCUAAUUAGUUUAAUAGUAACUAAUUAUUUUGAUGAUUAAAAUUAGUUGAAUGAUUUUUUUUAAUGAUUUAAAUUUUUAUUGUUUGUUUUUAACUGCAGAGAUUUCAAGGAAGCUUGGGGAAGUAGUCACACCUCCUCCUCCACCUUGUCCAAAUGUAGGGCACAUCCCGUGUUAGAAAAAAGCUUAUAUGAUUCAGUAUUAUUUAUUAACUUAAACAAAGUAUUUUUAUGCCAAAUUAUGUUGUUUCCAACGUGGAUUUAUUACUUUAACUAUAUUAUUUUAAAAAAUUAAUGUGAAUUUAUGAAACAAGAUAUUGGGUGACACUUUGUGUGGAAUUGAAAAAAAAUAUAUGUGUUGGGAUAAAGACUGGUAAGAAGACAAUUUCAAUUUUUCACAAGGAUAUUCAAUAUUAUUUAAAUUUCAUAAAUGCUUUCAAAAUUCUUAAAAAUGAGAAAGAACAAAAUUAGAAGAAGGGUGCGUGGUUGAAGAUUUGUAAUUACGAAGAAGAUAAGAAUAAGAAAUUAAUAAUAUUAAGAAAUUCACUUUAAGCUUAAUUCAAUAUCAUAAAACCAAUUUAUAAUGUAAAGUCUUCAACAUAUCCGCUAAGAGUACCAACUCGUACGUGAGACUAUAUAUUAUAGGUGAUAACGGUGAGUUUAUAAAUCCAACAAAUAAUCGUUAAGAUAAAUUCAAAAUAACUAUGAUACCAUAUUAAAAAGUACACUUUAAGUCUAAUUCAACUUCAAUAACUUAUAAAAAUAAAAUUUACACCGUUUAUAUACUAUGUGCUAAUUUUUAGGAUUUUGA